rnacentral:rRNA from 1 species
AGAGAGAGACAUGCGCGCAUAUCAAUAAGCGGAGGAAAAGAAACUAACAAGGAUUCCCCUAGUAACGGCGAGUGAAGCGGGAAGAGCUCAAAUUUGAAAUCUUAAAGGGUUUCCCUUUACGAAUUGUAGUUUAAAGAAGUGUUUUCUGUUGGAGGUUUUGGUAAAAGUUCUUUGGAAUAGGACAUCAUAGAGGGUGAGAAUCCCGUAUUUGACCAUUAUUUCCAGCUUUGUGAUACACUUUCAAAGAGUCGGAUUGUUUGGGAAUGCAGUCCAAAAUGGGUGGUAAACUUCAUCUAAAGCUAAAUAUUGGCGAGAGACCGAUAGCGAACAAGUACCGUGAGGGAAAGAUGAAAAGAACUUUGAAAAGAGAGUUAAACAGUACGUGAAAUUGUCAAAAGGGAAGCGUUUGACACCAGUGUUGUUUUUCUGAAAAUCAAUUAAAGAACUGUUUAUGCUAAGUUGUUUAGACUUUAUCAGCUAACUGUUUAGUUUUGAGCUUUUCUUUAAUGCACUUUUCAGUUAACAAGUCAACAUCAAUUUCUUUUGCUGUAAAAAAGCUUGAGGAAGGUGGCUUGAGAUUCGUCUUAAGUGUUUAUAGCCUCUUGCCUAUGCAGUCGGAGAGAUUGAGGUCUGCAGCGUAGAUCCUUCGGGGCUAAAUGCAUUUGUGCUAAGUUAUAGCAUUUUAUAGACAACUUGUUGACUAUGAUUUGUCUUGUAGCUUACUCGCUUAUGUUAUUUUACCUACGCUUAGGAUGUUGAGCGCAUGUCUCUCUC